rnacentral:lncRNA from 1 species
UUAGAGUUCUUUUGUAAAUUGAAGAGGGAAAUUGGAGAGUAGACUUGAUAAGGUUUCUAUGAGCAUUAGUCUUUUUUGAUUUGGAUUUGUAAUGACUUUGUAAGAGCUUUACAAAAUCAAGGUUGUUUUGGAUGACUCGGAUCUUUGAAAAAUAAAAUAGGGUUGAUGUUUUGGGCAAAUUUGGAAGUUUUAUAUGAAAUCAAUGGGUGUAAUUUUUUGAAUUGGUGGAUAUAUUUAUGCUUGAUGUGUGUUGUAAAUUUAAACCUGAUUAAAUGGUUAAAUUAAAGGUUCUUGAUAUUUAAACGAGUCAAAAUUUUAAAAAUUAGAAUUUUAGAUCUAUUAAUGGUA